GUCCACGCCGUAAACUAUGGGUGCUAGCCGUCAGGAAGCUUGCUUUUUGGUGGCGCAGCUAACGCAUUAAGCACCCCGCCUGGGAGUACGUCGCAAGAUUAAACUCAAGGAAUUGACGGGGGCCCGCACAAGCGGUGGAGCAUGUGGUUUAAUUCGAAGCAACGCGCAGAACCUUACCUACCCUUGACAUGUCCAGUAUGGGCUCCGGAGACGGGGUUCUUCAGUUCGGCUGGCUGGAACACAGGUGCUGCAUGGCUGUCGU
rnacentral:rRNA from 1 species